rnacentral:rRNA from 1 species
CCCUAUGGGGCGCACCCGGCUGUUAUAGCAAAUGCCCAGAACGUGUUGAAUGAUGCCGGUGCCGCUGUGGUUGACGCACAGACAGCGCUGAAUGCCGCAAAUGAAGCGGUGAUAAACCUGACGGCUGAGCGCGAUGCACAAGCGUCCGCAGCGGCGGAACUGGCCGCCGCUAUCGAACAGAUGAACGCGCAAGCGGGACAAUUGGACUCUUUGUCUGCAUCUGCCGUUCAAGCUGCUCUGGGAAUGGGUAAGGUGAUCGGCGGGCAACAGGCAUUGGAUGCCCAAAAAAUCAGAUUUGCGGAGCAAAAGGCGGUUGCUUUGCAAGAAUUGGCCGAAGCGGAAGCGGAGCUUUCCGCCGGAGAGGCACAGAUAGAAGAAGCACGCAAAAUCAUUGAAGGCAAAAAGGUGGAAUUGGCGGGAGAGC